rnacentral:rRNA from 1 species
UACAGAGGCCUCGAGCGUUAGGCGGAAUCACUGGGCUUAAAGCGUGUGUAGGCGGACUUCUAAGUACCUUGUGAAAUCCCACGGCUCACCCGUGGAACUGCUUGGUAUACUGGUUGUCUUGAGCCUUCUAGGGGCGAGUGGAACAAAUGGUGGAGCGGUGAAAUGCGUAGAUAUCAUUUGGAACGCCAAUGGUGAAAACAACUCGCUAGGGAAGUGCUGACGCUGAGACACGAAAGCCAGGGGAGCGAACGGG